CUCCUCCCGGGGUCAGUGGCAGCGACAGCCGGGGCGGCGGAAACCUCGUCGUCGGCGGAGGCGAAGAAGUCGCAGCCCAGGCACCCGGCGAUGCCGCAGAGGCGGCAGGUGUCGGGGAGCGGGAGCGCGGCGGGGGCGGUAGCGUGGCCGGAGAGGACGUCGACGAGUGCGGAAACGAUGGCGGAUGUUUCCUGCUCUCGAGAGGCGCCGGAGAAGGACGGGAAGGAGCGCUGCGGGUCGGAGAAGCUCAGCAUGUCGCUGCUCCUGUUCCCGAUUUGAUGUGAUUUAGAGGAGAGA
rnacentral:lncRNA from 1 species